rnacentral:snRNA from 1 species
GGAUACGACUGCAAUAUGCCUGCAACAUCUGUCACCCUACUGAACACCAGUGUUGAUUCUGAAGAUCUGGCUAACUAGGACAGUAGCUGCUUCCUCUCUCACGACUCCAUGUUCAUGUCUCCCAAAGCUGCAUGCUUAGUACAAGAGACAACCAUUCUUUGAUAAAAGGUAUGAUUAGCUGUGUUCUCCUCCAUGAUCUCCAAAAAAGCUAUCAAAGAAGGAUUAUUUGGUUAUGCCUUGAUAUACAAAAAA